GCAUGUGUGUGCAUGUUUAAUAGAUGAUCAUGAUUGAGCAUCGAUUGAGAUAUGAGUGCUUAGCUAUAGAUGAGUCUUCUCCCAUCAAAGGCUCUGGGAACAUUCUGGAAGAGGGAGAAUAAAGAAUGUCACAACCAGCAGAGGAGGAGAGAACUGUGAAAUGCUAACUUCUGAAGGGAUGACUGUCACACACAGCAGCUGUUGUUGCUGCACAAGAUCUGGACAGAAUUUGGAAAUUUGUAUCAUGAGAACAUCAUUUAUAAGACUAAUGAAUUCAAUGAAAGUGUUGCCAUGAGUAUUUGUACCCAUUGGUCCACCUCACCAAUGAAUUCCAAGGUCUGACUGAGUUUGUCUUUGUGACUUGGUGUACAGCUCACCACCUCUCUUUGGCACCAUGGCAAGGGAAGAACUGAAUUGUCUUUUCUUGGGCCACGGGAGACAGCAAGGCAUGGACAUUCGUGUUAUGACAACCCUAGGGAACUGUAAUAAUCCAGAUGACCAGAGGCAUCCCCCACACCGCUGCGACCAUUUCAGCAUGGCAGGAAGGCAUGGGACAGCCACAAUAAUGAUCCUUGCAGGUAGAAGCUCGGGGAACAUGAGACUGUAGACGAAAUAAAGGCGCUGCGUUUUCUUGGGUAAAAUGUCUCGUGGAACUUUCACACUACGCUGGCAUUUCCAGGAAAUGUAGAAACGAUCUGUACAAACAACUUCUCAGUCCAUCCCAGGGAUUCAAGAUGGGCAGCCUGUGCCAGAAUCCUUUGGUCUUAAGUCUACAUGUGCAGACCGACGAGAUCAAAUGCGGUUUCUUUAAAAAUGCAAUCGAAAAAGAAAAAGGAGCAAUUUCAUUCAGCAAGGAAAUUGUUUUAUUGUUCAA
rnacentral:sRNA from 1 species